rnacentral:rRNA from 1 species
UACGUAGGUGGCGAGCGUUAUCCGGAUUUACUGGGUGUAAAGGGCGUGCAGGCGGGUCAUCAAGUCGGGUGUGAAAUUUCCGGGCUUAACCCGGACAGGUCAUCCGAAACUGGAGAUCUUGAGUGCUGGAGAGGAUAGUGGAAUUCCUGGUGUAGCGGUAAAAUGCGUAGAUAUCAGGAGGAACACCAGUGGCGAAGGCGGCUAUCUGGACAGUAACUGACGCUGAGGCGCGAAAGCGUGGGGAGCAAACAGGAUUAGAUACCCCCGUAGUCC